UGGAAAUCAUAUAUUUAAGAUCUUGUGGCUGUGACUCAAUGGGGUUCUCCUGAACAGCAGUCAGACUCAGUGAUCUCUAGUGUAACCUGCAUGAUUUCUAUUUUUCUGGAUUACACAAAAAGCUAUUAGCAGUGACUUAUGUAUUUCCUGGGAAAUAUGCUGUGAGCAAAUUCAUUACAGACCAUGCUCUACCAUCAUGGAGAAGCUUCUGUUUUUUUCAUAUGGAAACAAGAAAUCUGGCCUUGCCUCAGAAGUGAACAUGGGAGGGAAGAUGGAAAAAGAAGUUGCAAGUGACUGACUACCCCGUGAAACCUUUUGGAUAACAAGAGGAGGAGAAGGGAAAGGGCUGUAGGAGAUCUGCAACACGGAGGACUCACUGGGCAAUAUCUCCACGUGUAUGUGGUAUAACGUGAGAAGUGGCCACAAAGACUUCUAUAACUGCAAAUUUCUUUCUUAGACUUGCCAGAGUUCCUGAAAUUUAGUAGCCUUAAUUUUAUAGGAUAUAUUAAGGCAUUACCUUUUUAGAAGGCUAGUGCUAAAAUGCAGGGUUAACCAGGGAAGAGAACCUAUGAGCACAUUUCUAUAAGUUAAGUUAUUAUCUUAGCUGUCUGCCUUCCUAUGCCUUUACUAGAGCUAUUUGAAAGUCAUAAAUGAAAUUCAAGUGGCCAGAUUUUACUAGUGAAAUCAUAGGGAUGUUCAUUGUCUGAUGAGGGCCAUGGCUUUCAAUCUGACUAUCUGACUAUCAACA
rnacentral:lncRNA from 1 species